GGCGCGCGGCCGGCGGGAGGCCCGGCUCCGCCCCGCGCGCACUAUUUAAUCCCAGAAUCCCUCUGUGUCGCACCAGAACGGCGGCGUCGUUCCGAGACUGCGGAGCUCGGGCGCGGCGGCGUCAAGAUGGCGGCAGCGGCUGUUGCAGCGGCGGCGGCAGCGGCGGCGGCUGCAUCUCUUCAGGUGCUGGAGAUGGAGAGCAUGGAGACGGCCGCUGCCGGCUCGGCGGGGCUGGCUGCCGAGGUCCGAGGCAGCGGCACGGUUGACUUCGGGCCCGGGCCCGGGAUCUCUGCAAUGGAGGCGAGCGGGGGCGAUCCUGGCCCAGAGGCCGAGGAUUUCGAGUGCAGCUCUCACUGCUCGGAGCUGUCCUGGCGGCAGAACGAGCAGCGGCGCCAGGGCCUCUUCUGUGACAUUACCCUGUGCUUCGGUGGGGCCGGAGGCCGCGAGUUCCGGGCCCACCGCUCGGUGCUGGCUGCCGCCACCGAAUACUUCACGCCCCUGCUCUCAGGCCAGUUUUCCGAGUCCCGCUCGGGCCGGGUGGAGAUGCGCAAGUGGAGCUCCGAGCCGGGGCCCGAACCCGACACAGUGGAAGCCGUUAUCGAAUACAUGUACACCGGGCGCAUCCGCGUCAGCACGGGCAGUGUGCACGAGGUGCUGGAGUUGGCCGACAGGUUCCUAUUAAUUCGUUUGAAAGAAUUUUGUGGAGAAUUUCUUAAGAAAAAGCUUCAUCUCUCAAAUUGUGUGGCCAUUCAUAGCUUAGCUCACAUGUACACUCUGAGCCAGCUUGCUCUGAAAGCUGCUGAUAUGAUACGGAGAAAUUUCCACAAAGUAAUUCAGGAUGAAGAAUUUUAUACUUUACCUUUCCAUCUCAUUCGAGACUGGCUAUCAGACUUGGAAAUUACAGUUGAUUCUGAAGAGGUUCUCUUUGAAACGGUUUUGAAGUGGGUUCAGAGAAAUGCUGAAGAGAGAGAGAGAUACUUUGAAGAACUUUUUAAAUUGCUCCGGUUGUCCCAGAUGAAACCUACCUAUCUUACUCGGCAUGUCAAACCAGAGAGGCUGGUGGCCAAUAAUGAAGUUUGUGUCAAGUUGGUGGCCGAUGCAGUGGAGAGGCAUGCCCUGAGAGCCGAGAAUAUACAGUCUGGCACCUUCCAGCACCCUGCUUCUCAUGUCUCAUUAUUACCUCGUUAUGGGCAAAACAUGGAUGUGAUCAUGGUUAUUGGAGGUGUGUCGGAAGGAGGGGACUAUUUAAGUGAAUGUGUGGGUUAUUUUGUUGAUGAGGACAGAUGGGUAAACCUGCCGCAUAUUCAUAAUCAUCUUGAUGGACAUGCUGUUGCAGUAACAGAGUCCUAUGUGUAUGUUGCUGGAUCAAUGGAACCAGGGUUUGCUAAGACGGUAGAAAGGUAUAACCCAAAUUUGAAUACGUGGGAACAUGUUUGUAGUCUGAUGACAAGAAAGCAUUCUUUUGGGCUGACGGAAGUCAAAGGGAAGCUCUAUAGCAUUGGAGGACAUGGCAACUUUAGUCCUGGCUUUAAAGAUGUGACUGUUUAUAAUCCUGAGCUUGAUAAAUGGCACAACUUGGAAUCGGCACCAAAGAUUCUUCGAGAUGUGAAAGCGCUAGCCAUUGAAGACCGCUUUGUGUACAUUGCUGCCCGCACUCCCGUGGACCGGGACACUGAAGAUGGAUUAAGGGCUGUAAUUACUUGCUAUGAUACAGAGACUCGACAGUGGCAAGAUGUGGAGUCUUUGCCACUUAUUGACAAUUACUGCUUUUUCCAAAUGUCUGUGGUCAAUUCAAACUUUUAUCAGACAGCAUCAUGCUGUCCCAAGAGUUACUCUUUAGAAAAUGAAGAGGCAGUAAGAAAAAUUGCCAGCCAAGUGUCUGAUGAGAUCCUUGAAAGCCUGCCUCCAGAAGUGCUAAGCAUUGAAGGAGCAGCCAUUUGCUAUUACAAAGAUGAUGUUUUCAUUAUCGGAGGCUGGAAGAACAGUGAUGAUAUUGACAAACAGUAUCGGAAAGAAGCCUACCGAUACUGUGCUGAGAGAAAGAGGUGGAUGCUUCUUCCUCCCAUGCCACAACCUCGUUGUAGAGCCACUGCUUGUCAUGUGAGGAUCCCAUACCGGUACUUGCAUGGCACACAGCGAUAUCCUAUGCCUCAAAACCUAAUGUGGCAGAAGGACCGCAUCAGACAGAUGCAGGAAAUACAUCGGCAUGCCCUAAACAUGCGGCGAGUGCCAAGCUCUCAGAUUGAAUGCUAGGUUCUCUAAUACAUGCAGCCUAAGACUGUCAUACCUGUUUCGUGAAGCUGAAGAUAAACAGACUGUUACUUGAAAAAGUAUGUCGAUAACUUAUUUUCUACCUGAACUGAUUAUUGCCCCUCAACAAGGAAGUACAGUUCAAAACUGAAGAAUGGGAAACUCAGUUCAAUACGUGCAGGCAGCCUAGGCCAUGGCUGAAAAGAAGGGGUAAGUCCGUCGUUGCAUGAUGAUGUGUGCAGGUUUUCCUGACUACUGGAUUUCUAAUUUUUAUAUUUGAAUUCACAUUUGUGAUUUCACAUCAAUAACUUGUGUUUCUGAAAUAGUCUAACUAACUUGUUAAUAAGGAAAGAAACCAGAUUUGCUUAAAUCUGUUCAAGGCUGACAUUCUAAAAUUCUAAGCUGGAAAUAACUUCCCAUGGUAUUUGGAAAGGUUCUAAUUAUGAAGACCAGGCCUAAAAACGGCUUCUUGGGAAAGAAAUUUCCUUUUAGAUGAAAACUCAAAGAUUGUGUUUGGUGAUUUAAGCAGUUAAACACAUGGCUUUAGAAGACAGCUUAAUGUGUAUUCAAACAAACCUUUGUUUCUUUUGCUUUUGUUUGGUGGAAGGGAGAGAGAAUUAUACCAAAAAGUGAUAACUAUAUAUAAUUUUGAGGGAGGCUACUUAUAUCUUAGAAUGGGUAUCCUUUAACUAUACCUAUCCCACCAUGGUUUAAAAAAAAAAUCAAUGGUAUAUAUAUUGAGAAUGUCAGUCAUGAGCUUAGUGUUUAAGUAAUACAUCACACUUGCAGUUGUUUGCAUGAUUAGUCUUGUGUACCUUGAUAUUCAACAUUGCUUUUGCUGUGCCAGUUCAAACAUAACAUUUUUGCCAAAAACUCUUAAAAUUCAUUGACAUCAGUUUUGUUUUGAUCACCUAGUUUUGUAUAGUAUUUCUGGGACCAAAAAUUAAAUACCUUUUAAUGUAGAACAGAAAUUUGAAGCUAGAAAGAUAAUAUUUAUGGAAGAUUUGUGUGCUUUUGUUUUUUAAAUACUUCAGGCUGCUAGUAAGGCAGUUCCUGGGGCACACUUUUUUCCUCUUUAUCUCUUGACUAGUGUAGCAUGUGGUAUGUUUAAAAUAUUUCAUUUUCUGCUUCAUAAUUCUAAUAUCAACCCUAUACUGUAAUACAGGUGAGCUGAAUUGUAUAUUUUAGUUACUUGGUCUAAUCAGAUAUAACUAAAGGGACUUUUUUGGUAUUUUCCUCAAAUUAAGCUUAAAUAAGAAGGGUAUAUUGGCCACAUUUCAUGUCUUUGAAAGUAUACAGUACUGUGAAGCAAGUACUCUGCCUACACUAGAAAAAUAGGGUGCUUUAUCUGUAGAAUAUUUGAGAAACAAUUCAGUCUCUCCUUAACUGUCAAAUAUUUUGGCACAGUUCAUCACUCUGGUUUGUCACUUUCUUGAGAAUAGUCCAUUUUGGGUUUUGUUACAAUGCUUUCAUAAUAACAUACCUUCUGGUCAUUAGAAACAAAACAGCUCAUAGUUGAGUGAUGUAGUACAAUAACAACAACACAACAUGGUAGUCAUUUUGCUUCAAGGAAUUUAAUUAGCCAAAUGACUGCUCUUUGUCACUUUGUAGGGCUUCUGUCUUACUCUAUAUGACCAUCACUACAAAUGUCUUACAUUGAAGCACAUACUAUAGAGCACUUGUAACUUAAUCCUCCUGCAUAAUGCACUGGUGAAAAGUAGUACUUGCUCUAGAUAUUUGAAGAUUUUAUGAUCCAUGUGCUAGGGCUCCUUGAAUUUUUGUAAAAAAUACUUAGUUUGAAUUGAUACAGUGAGUUUUUUGGGCUAGCAGUAUCUAGGGCCCUACUCUACUAAAAGUAUAACGUUGAUUGUCUGCCUUUAAGUUAGAGGAGAUGUAGUAUUUAGAACACUUUGAGACAUGGCAUUAUAAAAUAGCUUGUUUAUGUUCCUGAAGCUAUCUUGUUCUGUGUUAAAGCUACUAAUUGUCUCAAUGUAAGUUUUAAAUAAACAUAUUUCUUUAGA